ACAAAGGGCAGCAAGUUCGCGAGGACAAGCAAAUCCCAUAAACCGUAGCUCAGUUCAGAUCGUAGGCUGCAACUCGCCUACGUGAAGGAGGAAUCGCUAGUAAUCGCAGGUCAGCAUACUGCGGUGAAUACGUUCCCGGGCCUUGUACACACCGCCCGUCACACCAUGGAAGUUGGCCACGCCCGAAGCCGUUACUCCAACCCUUGUGGAGGAGGACGUCUAAGGUGGGGCUGAUGACUGGGGUGAAGUCGUAACAAGGUAGCCGUACCGGAAGGUGCGGAUGGAUCACCUCCUAAC
rnacentral:rRNA from 1 species